CGCACAUUGCGCCCGCCAGUAUUCUGGCGGGCAUGCCUGUUCGAGCGUCAUUUCAACCCUCAAGCCCCCGGGCUUGGUGUUGGGAAUCGACCGGCUAGCUCCGAUCGCUCCCUAAAUACAGUGGCGAUCCCACCAACGCACCCUUGGCGUAGUAACAUACCCCGUCCUGGAGCUUGGUGUGGUCAGGCCGUUAAACCCCCCACUUCUCAAGGUUGACCUCGGAUCAGGUAGGAAUACCCGCUGAACUUAA
rnacentral:misc_RNA from 1 species